AGAACAUCUCUAUUCGUCCUUACUUCUCGCGUUCGAAACAUCUUGGAGAGACAAAAUCUUCUCCCCCACUUAUCUCAAACCCACCUUUACACUUCCACUCGAACAUUCGGUGUAAGCACCUAACCGUCCUAUCGAUUCCAAAUUUAUUCCUCCCAAGAGAAAUCUAAUACCGACAGCAUUCACAUGCAUGUCGUAUGCAAAGGGUAAACAUAAGGUAAGAUAUCUAAGCAUCUACUCAAAACCCCGGUGCAGUCCUCUUGACAUACACACCACUACAAAAUACAUAAACACAC
rnacentral:lncRNA from 1 species